rnacentral:rRNA from 1 species
CUCGAGUGGUCGUCGCUUUUAUUGGGCCUAAAACGUCCGUAGCCUGUUUGGUAAAUCUGUGGGUAAAUCAACCAGCUUAACUGGUUGAAUUCUGCAGAGACUGCCAGACUAGGGACCGGGAGAGGUGUGGGGUACUCUAGGGGUAGGGGUAAAAUCCUGUCAUCCUUAGAGGACCACCAGUUGCGAAGGCGCCACACUAGAACGGAUCCGACGGUCAGGGACGAAGCCUAGGGGCACGAACCGGAUUAGAUACCCGGGUAGUCCUAGGUGUAAACGCUGUGAACUUGGUGUCGGGAGUCCGCAAUGGGCCCCCGGUGCCGGAGUGAAGAUGUUAAGUUCACUGCCUGGGGAGUACGGUCGCAAGGCUGAAACUUAAAGGAAUUGGCGGGGGAGCACUGCAACGGGAGGAGCGUGCGGUUUAAUUGGAUUCAACGCCGGAAAACUCACCAGGGCCGACUGUUAGAUGAAGACCAGCGUAAUGAGCUUGUCGGAUUUUCAGAGAGGUGGUGCAUGGCCGUCGUCAGUUCGUACUGUAAAGCGUUCUGUUAAGUCAGAUAACGAACGAGACCCUCAUCUCUAUUUGCUACCCGUCUCUCCGGAGGCGGCGCACUAUAGAGAGACCGCUGGUGUUAAACCAGAGGAAGGCGAGGGCAACGACAGGUCAGUAUGCCCCGAAUGUCCUGGGCUACACGCGCGCUACAAAGGACGGGACAAUGGGAAGCCAGGCCGAGAGGCCGAGCUAACCCGAAACCCGUUCAUAGUUCGGAUCGAGGGCUGUAACUCGCCCUCGUGAAGCUGGAUUCCGUAGUAAUCGUGUUUCAAUAUAGCACGGUGAAUAUGCCCCUGCUCCUUGCACACACCGCCCGUCAAACCAUCUUAGUUGGGGGUGGGUGAGGCUGCGCUUUAUGGCGUAUUCGAGCCUGCCUUCGACA